UGCCUAAUACAUCAAGUCGAGCGAAGGAUUAGAGCCUGCUCCAAAGAAGUAGCGGCGGACGGGUGAGAACACGGGGAACCUGCCCAUAAGACUGGGAUAACUCCGGGAAACCGGGGCUAAUACCGGAUAACACUUUGAACUGCAUGGUUCGAAAUUGAAAGGCGGCCUCGGCUGUCACUUAUGGAUGGACCCGCGUCGCAUUAGCUAGUUGGUGAGGAACGGCUCACCAAGGCAACGAUGCGUAGCCGACCUGAGAGGGUGAUCGGCCACACUGGGACUGAGACACGGCCCAGACUCCUACGGGAGGCAGCAGUAGGGAAUCGUCCGCAAUGGACGAAAGUCUGACGGAGCAACGCCGCGUGAGUGAUGAAGGCCUUCGGGUCGUAAAACAC
rnacentral:rRNA from 1 species